rnacentral:rRNA from 1 species
AACGAACGCUGGCGGCAUGCCUAACACAUGCAAGUCGAACGAGACCUUCGGGUCUAGUGGCGCACGGGUGCGUAACGCGUGGGAACCUGCCCUUAGGUUCGGAAUAACUCCCCGAAAGGGGUGCUAAUACCGGAUAAUGUCUUCGGACCAAAGAUUUAUCGCCUUUGGAUGGGCCCGCGUUGGAUUAGCUAGUUGGUAGGGUAAAAGCCUACCAAGGCGACGAUCCAUAGCUGGUCUGAGAGGAUGAUCAGCCACACUGGGACUGAGACACGGCCCAGACCCCCACGGGAGGGAGAAGUGGGGAAUAUUGGAAAUGGGGCGAAAGCCGAACCCAGCAUUGCCGCGUGAGUAAUGAAGGCCUUAGGGUUUUAAAGCUCUUUUCCCCGGGAUGAUAAUGACCGUCCCGGGAGAAUAAGCUCCGGCUAACCCCGU